rnacentral:rRNA from 1 species
CACGUAGUUAGCCGUGGCUUAUUCAAGGGGUACCGUCUUCUGCUCUUCCCCCUUAAAGAAGUUACAACCCGAAAGCCUUCUUCCUUCACGCGGCGUUGCUGGGUCAGACUUGCGUCCAUUGCCCAAUAUUCCCCACUGCUGCCUCCCGUAGGAGUCUGGGCCGUAUCUCAGUCCCAAUGUGGCCGGCCAACCUCUCAGUCCGGCUACUGAUCGUCGCCUUGGUGGGCCGUUACCCCACCAACUAGCUAAUCAGACGCGAGGCCAUCCUUCAGCGAUAAAUCUUUGACAUUCAAACCAUGCGAUUCAAAUGUAUCAUGCGGUAUUAGCAGUCGUUUCCAACUGUUGUCCCCCUCUGAAGGGCAGGUUCCUCACGCGUUACUCACCAGUCCGCCACUAAGCAUUCCCAUCCGUUGUCCGAAAACUCCUUCAGGGGUGCUCCGUUCGACUUGUCAUGUGUUAAGCACGCCGCCAGCGUUCGUCCUGAGCCACGGAGUCAAACUACUCUGACGACGUCGACCG